rnacentral:rRNA from 1 species
AGCGAACGCUGGCGGCAGGCUUAACACAUGCAAGUCGAACGCCCCGCAAGGGGAGUGGCAGACGGGUGAGUAACACGUGGGAACGUACCCUUUGGUUCAGAAUAACUUGGGGAAACUCAAGCUAAUACCGGAUAAGCCCUUAUGGGGAAAGGUUUACUGCCGAAGGAUCGGCCCGCGUCUGAUUAGCUAGUUGGUGAGGUAAUGGCUCACCAAGGCGACGAUCAGUAGCUGGUCUGAGAGGAUGAUCAGCCACACUGGGACUGAGACACGGCCCAGACUCCUACGGGAGGCAGCAGUGGGGAAUAUUGGACAAUGGGGGCAACCCUGAUCCAGCCAUGCCGCGUGAGUGAUGAAGGCCUUAGGGUUGUAAAGCUCUUUUACCCGGGACGAUAAUGACUGUACCGGGAGAAUAAGCCCCGGCUAACUACGUGCCAGCAGCCGCGGUAA